rnacentral:lncRNA from 1 species
GUCAGCCAUUAACUGUGCAGGGAGUCCCAGCUUGAGCCUUAGCCUGGCUUAGACAUGUCUGAGCAAGCCUGAAGAACUGCAAUGUGGACCUGCUAGCAACCUAUGUGUGCCUGAGACAGUAGAGCCUCGUGGGAAGGAUAAAAGAAUCAGGUACAACCUAGGUAACUAGAUGUUGCUUGUAUCAGGAAAGGAGCGACUGGACACUGUUUGACUAAGGAAACCGGCUUAAGGAGCAUGAGGAACUCGCCCAAGGCCAUGUAACUACCUCAGCGGCAAGGCUGGGCCCUGGCCUUAGCAACCACCCUGUGCCUCACCUUCGUCAUCGAGAAGUACUGAAGUCCAAGUUGCCACAGGGCCUAGGGGAGAAUGAACAAACCAGUCUAAAUCCCAGUUCUUCAGGAUUUUUUUUCUUGCUGCUUUAACAGAAUGCCUGAUGCUGGAUAGUUAUAUAAAAUAGAAGGCCAUUUGUCUGUCAGCGCUGAAGUGGGGAAGUCCAGGGGUAUGCCAAUGGUAAAUGUGACAGUCACCUCAGACUGGAAGGCAAAAAUACAAUCAUGGGCGAGAAAAUC